rnacentral:rRNA from 1 species
CACUAUGCUUAGCCCUAAACAUUGAUUACAUAUUACACCAAACAUCCGCCCGGGUAUUACGAACAUCAGUUUAAAACCCCAAGGACUUGGCGGUGCUUAACAUCCACCUAGAGGAGCCUGUUCUAGAACCGAUAAUCCCCGUUCAACCUCACCCUCCCUUGUUCCUUCCCGCCUGUAUACCUCCGUCGUCAGCUUACCCUGUGAAGGCCCAAUAGUAAGCAAGAUUGGCACAUCCCCUAAUACGUCAGGUCAAGGUGCAGCGCAUGAGAGGGGAAGAAAUGGGCUACAUUCGCUAAAAUAGCGAACACGAAUGAUGCAUUGAAACAUGCAACUGAAGGAGGAUUUAGCAGUAAGAAGGAAGUAGAGUGUCCUACUGAAACCGGCUCUAAAGCGCGCACACACCGCCCGUCACCCUCCCCUAAAACCAUAAAUCCCCUAAUUAAAACAAUAAAUCCUACAAAGGAGAGGAAAGUCGUAA